ACACCGGCAGCCCAAGUGGUGGCCAUUUUUAUUGGGCCUAAAGCGUUCGUAGCCGGCCUGAUAAGUCUCUGGUGAAAUCCCGCAGCUUAACUGUGGGAAUUGCUGGAGAUACUAUCAGGCUUGAGGUCGGGAGAGGUUAGAGGUACUCCCAGGGUAGGGGUGAAAUCCUAUAAUCCUGGGAGGACCACCUGUGGCGAGGCGUCUAACUGGAACGAACCUGACGGUGAGUAACGAAAGCCAGGGGCGCGACCCGGAUUAGAUACCCGGGUAGUCCUGGCCGUAAACGAUGUGGACUUGGUGUUGGGAUGGCCUCGAGCUGCCCCAGUGCCGAAGGGAAGCUGUUAAGUCCACCGCCUGGGAAGUACGGUCGCAAGACUGAAACUUAAAGGAAUUGGCGGGG
rnacentral:rRNA from 1 species